rnacentral:rRNA from 1 species
UGAGGAAUAUUGGGCAAUGCCCGCAAGGGUGACCCAGCAACGCCGCGUGGAGGAUGAAUGUCGUAAGAUUGUAAACUCCUGUUAGAGGGGAAGAAUAGUACCGGUUGGACCGGUAUAUGACUGUACCCUCAGAGAAAGCCCCGGCUAACUACGUGCCAGCAGCCGCGGUACUACGUAGGGGGCAAGCGUUGUCCGGAUUUACUGGGUGUAAAGGGCGCGCAGGCGGGAUAAAAAGUCAGUGGUGAAAUCCUACAGCUUAACUGUAGAACUGCCUUUGAUACUUUUAUUCUUGAGUUCGGGAGAGAGAGACGGAAUUCCAGGUGUAGUGGUGAAAUGCGUAGAUAUCUGGAAGAACACCAGUUGCGAAGGCGGUCUCUUGGUCCGACACUGACGCUGAGGCGCGAAAGCGUGGGGAGCAAACA